UGGCUUAUGUAGCUUGGGCUUCUGGCUCGACAAACGUUUACCGUCUGGGGCACAAGGGUAGAGUGGAUUUGGGGUGUGUUCAUGCUGCCGUUGGGGGAUAUUACUAUCGGGAAGCACUUCCGUUUUUGGGGCUAUCAAACGAUUCCACCAGCAGACCUUCGCGCGGUCCCAGUUCACAAGCGCCGUUGCAGCGUUUAGCGUGGGCGACGAAGUCAAAGUUACAGUUGACGCUGAUCGACUUCGAGAAAUGCAAGAAGGACAUGGUGGAUGGAAUCCUCGUAUGGUGGAGUGCAUAGGUCACGUCGGAACAGUUCACCGCGUCACCGAAAGGGUAGAUAUUCGUUUCAAUUUGAUGGCAGUAACAAACGCUGGACGUUCCAUACGCGAGCAAUUUAUCGUUUAUCGGACUUUUCUGUCGGAGACGCAGUAAGGCUAACCGAUGAUAUUGCACACGUGAAACUUCUUCAACGAGGCCAUGGAGAGUGGGUUGAUUUAACGCGAUUGGGGUUUGGUAAAAUCGGUAAGGUGACAAAGGUCUAUGACGAUGGUGAUCUACGAGUCACUGUGGAUGAACAGACUUGGACUCAAUCCAUUAUGUCUUACGCCAUUGUCCGGUUCAGCGACAGAACUGCAUAACACCAUGGCUACAAGCAUUCGUCAAGAACACAUAAAUCCGUGGGCUUCAUUGCUAUCUCAUCUGUUUGCGAAUGGCCCGAAACAACAGCAACAACAACCACUUUCUCUGUCUCAUCCCAGCCAUCAGCCAGGAACGUUGAAUGAGGGCACUAUAGCCGAUCGGCUUGUACGGGCGGCUGCAUAGGGUCAAUUUUAUAUCUUCGAACAGUUAUUGCUACAGCUGAUUGAUUAAUACGAAUAUAUUUAAUAUAUUUAAAUUCAACAGGAAGUCUUCGCCUUGGAUUUAGCGUGAUGAUUAUGUC